rnacentral:sRNA from 1 species
UACAAAAUUUGUAUCUUUGUGGGACAAUUUUUUUCCAUAGAAAAUUCAUCUUUGUUGGACGGAAGGAAUAUGAAAGCUCAAAGUUCUAAAAAGACUGCUCUAUCAUUCAUCAGAUACUGGAAAAUGAGUGGAACUUUACUGAACCCAAAGCAUAACAAGAAACUGGUAAUACCAUUCAUA